CGGAAAGUGGCGCAGCCUGGUAGCGCAUCUGCAUGGGGUGCAGGGGGUCGGAGGUUCAAAUCCUCUCUUUCCGACCA
rnacentral:tRNA from 1 species